UAAGAACUUGCUAGGGGCAGAAAAUCUUGGUGUCGAUUGGUUGCGAUCGGCUGGAUUCAAAUCUGCAGCUCGUAGCACUUCCAGGUGGCAGACGCCAGAAAAUGAAAGGUUAUAUUCACAAAGGAGAAGGGGGUGUUUCAUUUAUUCCCCUGCAGUUCAAUUGUACGAGGCCUACACAGAUAGAUUGGUCUGAAUCCGGUGUUUCUCGCCAAUGGCUGUACUAACGUCAUGGUCACUAGUUUUCUUCUUUGAUAGAGCUGAAUUAUAUCCUUAAGUAGUGGAAAUUUAUGUGGUUCUCUCGGGUAUUUCGUAUCCAACUGACGCAGUCUACGAGUAGCUUCGUAUUUGCAUGUAAUGUUCCUUACAGAACAUUGAAUCUGCCAAUGACACAAAGACUGGAGGUGCUGAACGUAUUGCAAUGGAGUGGGGAAUCGGAAACAGCUGGCAGUCUUUGUGAUAUAAGCUAUUUAGCUUAAUGUGUCUAUUAUUAGAGUAAUAUCUAUAAAAUUUUCAUGCUAAAGAUGUUUCGGAUGAAGAAA